UGUAAAAACUUACUCAGAAAAAACCUCCAGAAACCUCCUGUGAUACUUUUAUGAUCCUCAGUUAACAGUCUAGCCCUGCCUACAACUCAGAAAAAUGUGGGGAAGCUGGAAUGCAAAGGAGAGAGGGUUUGGCUGAGCUCCUCCUGGAUAAUCAGUGAGGAAGAGCUUUGAACUAGAAAGAAAAAGCACAAAUAAUAGGAAGUCUGAAGAUAAGGAGACAGAAACCAUUUAGCUGUCCUUGAAUUC
rnacentral:lncRNA from 1 species